rnacentral:rRNA from 1 species
UGAUUAGAGUGGCAAACGGGUGAGUAACACGUGGGUGACCUGCCUUCGAGUGGGGGAUAACCUUCCGAAAGGAGGGCUAAUACCGCAUGACAUACCGUGUUUGGAUACACGGAUAUCAAAGCCGGGGAUCGCAAGACCUGGCGCUUGGAGAGGGGCCCGCGUCCGAUUAGCUAGUUGGUGAGGUAACGGCUCACCAAGGCUCCGAUCGGUAUCCGGCCUGAGAGGGCGGACGGACACACUGGAACUGAGACACGGUCCAGACUCCUACGGGAGGCAGCAGUGGGGAAUUGUUCGCAAUGGGCGCAAGCCUGACGACGCAACGCCGCGUGGAGGAUGAAGAAUUUCGGUUCGUAAACUCCUUUCGACCGAGAUGAAUAUCUUGCGAUCUAAUAAGUCGCAGGACUGACAGUAUCGAGAGAAGAAGCCCCGGCUAACUCUGUGCCAGCAGCCGCGGUAAUACAGGGGGGGCAAGCGUUGUUCGGAAUUACUGGGCGUAAAGGGUUCGUAGGUGGCCACUUAAGUCAGACGUGAAAUCCCUCAGCUUAACUGGGGAACUGCGUCUGAUACUGAGUGGCUUGAGUGCAGGAGAGGAAUGCGGAAUUCCAGGUGUAGCGGUGAAAUGCGUAGAUAUCUGGAGGAACACCGGUGGCGAAGGCGGCAUUCUGGAC